rnacentral:lncRNA from 1 species
AUGGGUCUCAACGCAUUUCCUCCUCCUCCCAGUCUCAGCCUGCAGCAGAGGUGCUGGGUGUCGGCUUUUGGCCAAACUCCGGUGGAGCGGCGCUGCUCGGGGCCGAGCGACGGGGAAUCAAAGCCGACGAGCCGUGGUGCGCGGGCCCCGGAGGGGCUCAGGGCUCCCACACAGCAGAGGGGGCCACGCUCGCACGGCGGGCUCGGAGGGCGCGGGAAGGGAAGGGCUGCGGGCGGCGCACGGAACCGCUCGGCUCCCGGCGGCCGGGCCGCGCUAGGCCGCGCUGGGCCGCAGUUGCCACCUGGUGGCGGGCCCCGAGCACAGACCCGCGGAGGGACGGCCCUCCUCCGGGCCGCCUCCCACCGAGGCCGCUCAUGGAUGGCAGCCAGGCCCCGCCGCACCUCGCGGGACGUUCCGGGCUCGGAGCGAGGAUCCCCCGGGUCUCCCCGCGCCUUCCAGCCGCACGGCCGAGAACCUCACCCUUCUCCAUCUCCGUACCCCGAUCGCGAACUACAGCCCCCAGGAUCCUUUGCGGCGUGCCGACCGCCCUCGCGCAUGUGCAAAUCCUCCCCACCUCCCCUCCUUCCCGCGGCACGUCGCGCGCCAGCGGGUGGUGGGGUUUCCGCUUCCGGCGCGCCUCGCUCUGGUCCCUGCGGCUGGCGGCCGAGCCUUGUGCCUCCGCCAUAUUGUCUGUGUGCGGCCGGCGGGCGGGCGGCGAGCGGGCGGCCGCGGCAGGUACCGGCGGGCCCCGGCAGCUCCGGCGCCUCUCCCGGGGCUCUGCGGCGGGCAGAGAGGAUGGGACGGCGGGGGAUAGGAGCCGCCGUGGCUCCUCGCGCUCCCCGCCCCGCUCCGGGCGCAGUGUGGGCCGAGGGGCUGGGAUCGCCCCUGAGGAGAGCUGGGCCGCGGGAGGGGCUCGGCCGGGCGCCGCUGAGGGGAGCGAGGACGGGGGGUCGGAGCGGGUACGGCCGGGCGGGGGGGGGCGAGGCAGGGCCGGCCCCUGCUGCCCGGGGAGGUUCCGUGCCUCCGGGGAAAGCGGGGCCCGGGGCGGUUUCGGGCCGCCCGGUUGUGGCCGGCCCGUGGUCCUUGCUUCCCCUUUCCCCCCCCCCCCCGCUGCCUCCCGCGCGGAGUGGGCAGGGCUCUGUGGGAGACCGGCCCUCCCAUCCCCCCCUCCCCCUCCCGUCUUCUCGGCGGUUUAGGUGGUCGUUAGCUAAAAUGCUCCGUCUUUCCUUCUUUUGCCCGGCUUAA